rnacentral:lncRNA from 1 species
AGUAACCUGAACCAGAGAAAAAACAAGACUACCAUGUCCAGCCAGCAGAAUGCUAUAAUAUGCUAUGAUGACUGGAAUCCUUGUUAACCAAUUCCAGCAACCUCCUAUCACCUCUCCGUUGAGACCAGCAUGAAGGUCGAAGCUCACACCACCUCUGCAGACUCAUUUCAUCCCUCCCCUGCCUACGGUCACCUGUGUGGUUGCCCGGGCCAGAAACAAAUACCCAAAUGCAGCAUUUGAGAGAUUUCUACUUGUCUGUUGCCUCCUCGAGAACAGCACGUAACUGCAAUGCAGCCUGUACAGGAGGACGGAGGGAAGGAAAAGCCAGAGCCAGGUCUUGAGCUGAGGAGGGCAGAGUCUUGCGGAGGGCCCUCAGGACUGGGUGAUGCUGUGAGGGAGCAUGAAUCCCGUGUCCCUGAGGAUCCUGAGCGCUACUCGGCCAUUGGGUCGGAUCACCAGGUGGGUGAUGCUGCCAUUGUUGAGGGAGCAAUGGAGCCAGCCUUCGGGAGGAAACUGCA